UUCCUACGGGUGGCUGCAGUGGGGAAUUUUGGACAAUGGGCGAAAGCCUGAUCCAGCCAUGCCGCGUGCAGGAUGAAGGCCUUCGGGUUGUAAACUGCUUUUGUACGGAACGAAAAGACUCUGGUUAAUACCUGGGGUCCAUGACGGUACCGUAAGAAUAAGCACCGUCUAACUACGUGCCAGCAGCCGCGGUAAUACGUAGGGUGCAAGCGUUAAUCGGAAUUACUGGGCGUAAAGCGUGCGCAGGCGGUUAUAUAAGACAGAUGUGAAAUCCCCGGGCUCAACCUGGGAACUGCAUUUGUGACGGUAUAGCGAGAGUACGGCAGAGGGGGAUGGAAUUCCGCGUGUAGGAGUGAAAUGCGUAGAUAUGCGGAGGAACACCGAUGGCGAAGGCAAUCCCCUGGGCCUGUACUGACGCUCAUGCACGAAAGCGUGGGGAGCAAACAGGAUUAGAUACCCGUGUAGUC
rnacentral:rRNA from 1 species